GAGAGUUUGUAACACCCGAAGUCGGUGAGGUAACCUAUUAGGAGCCAGCCGCCUAAGGUGGGAUAGAUGAUUGGGGUGAAGUCGUAACAAGGUAGCCGUAUCGGAAGGUGCGGCUGGAUCACCUCCUUUCUAAGGAA
rnacentral:rRNA from 1 species